CAUUGACCUUGAGGAAGGUCUGACAAGCAGCAGCUAUUUCAGCCUUGGUGUAUUUUAUUUUAUUUUUUGAGACAGAGUCUCACUCUGUUUCCCAGGCUGGAGUGCAGUGGCACGAUCUUGGCUCACUGCAGCCUCUGCCUCCUGGGUUUGAGCGAUCCUCCUGCCUCAGCCUCCCGAGUAGCUGGGAUUGCAGGUCCGUCCAUGCCAUCAUGCUAAUUUUUGUAUUUUUUUUAGUGGAGACAGGGUUUCACCAUUUUGGCCAGGCUGGUCUGGAACUCCUGGCCUCAAGUGAUCUGCCCACCUCGGCCUCCCAAAUUGCUGGAUUACAGGGCGUGAGUCACUGCACCUGACCCUCGGUGUAUUUUAUAUUAGACCCUUUCACUGGCCAUGGUACCAUAAAGAACCUAGUGUUCAGGGACUUGUAGGUGCAACCUGGAUUACCAAUGAGGAUGGGAGAUACUGAAGUGAGCAAAUCUUUGCCUUGGAUCCUAACCAGGGCUCAAAAUAAGCAGCCAUGCUUGUGCAGUGUGAGAAAAGCUUCUUGAGCCUCUUUUUUUUUUUUUUUUUUUUUUUGAGACGGAGUCUCACUUUGUCUCCCAGGCUAGAGUGCAGUGGCUCGAUCUUAGCUCACUGCAAGCUCUGCCUCCCAGGUUCACGCCAUUCUCCUGCCUCAGCCUCCCGAGUAGCUGGGACUACAGGCAUCCACCACUACGCCCGGCUAAUUUUUAAAAAUAUUUUUAGUAGAGAUGUGGUUUCACCGUGUUAGCCAGGAUGGUCUCGAUCUCCUGACCUCGUGAUCCUCCUGCCUCGGCCUCCCAAAGUGCUGGGAUUACAGGCGUGAGCCACUGCGCCCGGCCUCUUGAGCCUCUUUAUGGAGCUCCCCAGAUACACUGCUGGCUUCUUGGAGAAUUAAUUUAGGAUAUUUCAGCUGCCACGGCUGAUAGAAUUCAUCUUUGGGGGUCAGAUAAGGAAGCCAAGUGUCUUCAAACUCUUCAAAAUGCCUCAGUUUCUUAGCUUUGCACUCUUGUUCCUCGGCAAUCAGGGUGUGCUUCAUGCGGCCACUAAAGCCACCUUCCUAAGUCAUUAAGGUUUGGUUUGGUUUUGUUUUUUGAGACAGUCUCACUCUGUCGCCCAGGCUGAAGUGCAGUGGCACAAUCUUGGCUCACUGCAACCACCACCUCCCGGGUUCAAAUGAUUCUACUGCCUCAGCCUCCCAAGUAACUGGGAUUACAGGCGCGUGACACCAUGCCCGGCUAACUUUGUAUUUUUAGUAGAGACAGGAUGUCACCAUGUUGGCCAGGCUGGUCUCGAACGCCUGACCUCAAGAGAUCCACCCGCCUCGGCCUCCCAAAGUGCUGGGAUUAUAGGCAUGAGCCACGUGCCCGGCACUAAGUCAUUAAGUUUUGAGGGUGGUUUGUUAUACUGCAGUAGAUAACUGAGACAACAGGUAUAUGGUUUCCCUGCAUCAUUUUGUUUUAGAUAUAUCUUUCAUGAAGGGCACCUACCUGGAGUUUAAAAAAAAUCCAAUCUGUUAGUUACGUGUUUAGUAGUCAUUGGAUUCAACUCUUUCAUAUCUAUUUAAUUAUUGCUACAUUUGUACUUAUUCGUAGCAUCUUCUUUUGGUUUUGUAACUACCAUGUUGUGUGAGUUUCCUAUAGCUGCUAUAAUAAAUUACCACAGGCCCAGCAUGGUGGCUCAAACCUAUAAUCCCAGCACUUCGGGAGGCCAGGGAGGAAGGAUGGCUUGAGGCCUGGAAUUUGAGACCAGCCUGGGCUAUAUAGCCAGAUGCUGUCUUUACGAAAAAAUAAAAUAAAAUAAAUUGAAAAAAAUCACAAACUUAGUGCCUUAAAACAACACAAAUGUAUUGUCUUAUAGUUUUGAAGGUCAGAAGUCUGAAUGGGUCUUAUAGGCUAAAUCAAGGUAUUGUCAGAGCUGCAUUAUUUCUGAGAACUCUAGAAGAAAAUCUGUUCUCUUGCCUUUUCCACCUUCUAGAAGCCACCUGCAUUCCUUGGCUCACAGGGUGCCUUCCUUCUUCAUUAAAACACAUCAUUUCAUUCUCUUUUUUUGUUGUCACAUUUCCUCUGUAACUAAUCCUUGUGAUUACAUUGGGCCUACCCAGAUAAUCCAGGAUAAUCUCUUCAUCGAACUACUUAAUCACAUCUGCAACAUCCCCUUUUGUUUUGUAAGGUGACAUACUCAGAUUCCGGGGAUCAGGACAGGAGAUUUUUGAAAAGAACCAAGAAGGAUUAUUUCAUCUACCACACAUCCCUUUUCCUGGUUUCUUUUUUAUCCUCUUUUUUGCUUUCCUAAUCUAUCAAGAUGCUUGUGGCUGCAAAGUAGCAGAGGCCUUAGUUAAACAAUGCUGUAAUCAACAGAAAGACAGAAGGCUUACACAACUGGAUACCCAGAGGAGAGUGAGCCCGUGACUCAGCAUCGCCAUCAUGGACCCUGGUUCUUUCCAUCCCUCCCAUCUGCUACCCAUAGCAUUAGCUUCAUCCCGAGGCUGGUUCCUUGAGUGGCCAAGGGAUGAGGCUGGAAGUGUCCUUAUUCACACCCACUGAGGGAGAUAGUUGAGUACUUAUCACUUUCCAUUUGGACCCGGUUUCACAAGCUUGGCACUAUUAUUAUUAUUAGCAGUAGUAGUGGUAGGGACGGGGGUCUCACUCUGGAGCUGUCUCACUCUGUUGCUCCAGGCUGGAGUGCAGUGGUGUGAUGACAGCUCACUGCAACCCUGAACUCCUGAGCUCAAGUGAUCCUCCUGCCUCAGCCUCCCAAGCAGCUGGGACUACAGGUGCGCAUCACCACACUGGAUUCAUUUUUAAAUUUUUUGUAGAGAUAGGUCCUCGAUAUGCUGCCCAAGCUGCUCUCAAAGUCCUUGGCUCAAGCGAUCUUCCCACCUUGGCUUCUCAAAGUGUUGGGAUUACAGGCGUGAGCCACUAAGCCCUGGCUCCCUUAGCAGUUUCCAAACCCACCCUGUGGUUUUCCCAAUACCUGCAGAACCAGCUUUAAAGUGACCACAGCAGAGAUGCCAGUGCAGAUGCUGGAGCCUUUCCUCAGAAGUCUGAGUUUCAAUUAUGCAGAGGGCUCUUCCUCCAACUUCUAAGCUUUAGUGGUUCAACUUCUUCCUUUGUUCUCUCAGCCCGAGUGGGUAGCUGCUUCUUGCAGUUACUAACUUAAGUGAUACUGCAGAUUUGUUUUUUUGACUUUUCAGUUAUCUAGUUAAUAACCAUAAACCUAGUUAACAGUUCUCUGUAUUACAUUGUCUCUGUUAAAUAAUUGGUAUAGUUUCUGUCCCCUGACUGAUGUAUCUUUAUAAGCUUAAUUCUCUAUUACGAUACAUUUGUUUAUGGUUGUGAUUUGCACCUCUGGGAGGGUUAGGUUCUAAGAUCAGGGUAUCAAACAAUAAAACUUGUUGGUCCCCCAAUACACUGCCUCCUUAAUGUAAUCGAAAUUGGCUGUUGGCCCUGGGAUGGAGCCAGCUACCCUAGCUAAGACACUGUUGGGCAGUGCAGAGCAGAAUUUGGCAGCUGAGGAGAAGGCCUCUCAUCUGGCUGUGGUCAGUGUCAGUUCCUCAGGGCUCUCUGCAAACAGAACUGGAAGUUUAUGCUCCCUUUUACCCCACAGGCAGAAGGUCCCUCUGGGAGAAAUUCAUAGGCCAGCUCUGUGCUGAGAUUUCAGUUUAGCUUAUAUAUCUGCUACAUUUCCAUUUUCCCCUGCUCCAGGGCCAGUUGGACCACCCCUCCCUCCCUGUCUUCCCUCCCUCCUUUCUCCAUGAAGACAUUUUUCAGCUCCCUCGUCUUCUUUCUCUUUUUUGCCAGGGGCCAUUGAAUGCUACCUCAUUUCAAAUCACUCUGGGUUAGUGCCCUCCUCCCAGCCCCCAUAUCCUCUGGCAUGUGCCUCAUUCUUCCUGGCAUGGAUCCCGCAUGUCUUAGAUGGGAGAAGGCAUGCAUGGAUUCUUAUGAGUCCCGGGUACUGUGAGCAGUGGCCAAGCUUGGCAUUUCUUGUAGCCCAGAUGUCAUGGAGGAAUUCAUACUUGCUACCUACAGAUAAAGAAACAGAAAAUCAAUGACUUACCCGAGGCAUUUAGCCACUCCUACAACUUAAUUAAAAAAAAAGACCAAAACCCAAAAACAAAAAAGAAGACAAACAAAAAACAACAAAACAAUGGGCAAAAGGUUUGAGCAACCAUUUUAUAAAGAUACACAGAUGACCAAUAAGCACACACAAAAUAUUGCUUAACAUCAUUAGUUGAGCAAUUAAUGACAUGCUCAAAUUAAAUAUAUGCAAAUUAAUUUGCAUUGUAUAAAUGCAAAUUAACAUGCAAAUUAAAUAUACAAUGAGAUACUAUUACACACCCGGUAGAAUGGCUAAAAUUAAAGACUGACAAUAUGAAGCAUUGGUGAGGAUGUCAAGCAACUGGAACUCUCAACAUUACUGGUGGGAGUAUAAGGUGGCACAACUAAUUUGAAAAAAAAGAGUUCCAUAGUUUCUUAUAAAACUAAACAUAGGGGUCGGGUUCUGGGGCUCAUGUCCGUAAUCCCAGUGUUUUGGGAGGCUGAGGUGGGAAAAUCCCUUGAGGCCAGUAGUUCACGACAAGCCUGGGAAACAUGGCAAGACCUCAUUUCUAAUUUAAAAAAAAAAGUUCGCAGACAGUGGUGGCGUGUGCCUAUAGUCCCAUCUACUGGGGAGGCUCAGGCAGGAGGAUUGCAUGAGCCCGGGAGUCUGAGGUUGCAGUGGGCUAUGAUGGCAUCAUUGCACUCCAAUCUGGGCAACAGAGAUAGACCCUGUCUCAAAAACAAAGCCCCAAACAACCACCAAACAUAGGACCUUUAUCAAAAUUAAAAACUUUUGUGCAUCAAAGGACACUAUCAAGAGAGUGAAAAGGCAAGCUACAAAAUGGGAGAAAAUAUUUGCAAACCAUGUAUCUGAUAACGGGUUAAUAGCCAGAAUAUAAAACAACUCCCCAAACUCAACAACAAAAAAAACAAGCAACAGAAUUUAAAAAAUAGGCAAAGGACUUGACAGACAUUCCUCCAAAGGAGAUAUAUAAAUGGCUGAUAAACCCAUAAAAAGAUGCUCACAUCACUAAUGAUUAGGGAUGCGCAAAUCAAAACUACAGUGAGAUAGUGCUUCAUUUCAUUAGGAUGGCUAUUAUAAAAACAACAGCAACCACAACAAACCAAAACAUAAAAUGGCAAGUGUUGGUGAAGAUGUGGAACUCUUGUGUAUUUUUAGUGAGAAUGUAAAAAUGGCACAGCUGCUGUGGAAAACUGUAUGGUGGCUUAUCAAAAAAAUUGAACAUAGAAUUAACUGUAUCUUCCAGGAAUUCCACUUUUAGAGAUACACCCAAGAGAACUGAAAGCAGGGACUCAAACAGAUAUUUGUACACCGAUGUUAGUAGUAACAUUAGUCACAAUAACUAAAAGAUGAAAACAACCCAGCGUCUAUUGACAGAUGAAUGUAUAAACCAAACGUAGUAUCACAUAUAAUGAAAUAUUAUUCAGCCUUAAGAAGAAAUGAAGUUUUGAUAGAUGUUACAACAUAAAUAAGCCUUAAAAAUAUUACGCUAAGUGAAACAAACCAUGCACAAAGGACAAAUAUUGUAUGAUUCCACUUUUAUGAAUACUCAGAAUAGUCAAAUUUGUAGAGAUAGAAGGUAAAAUAGUGGUUACUGGGCUCGGGGGAGGAGGUAAUGGAGAGUUAUUGUUUAAUGGGUAUGGGGUUUCAGUUGAGAUGAGAAAAAAGUUGCGGAGAUGAAUAGUGGAGAUGGUUGUACAACAACGUAAAUGUAUUUAAUGCCACUGAAUCACACACUUAAAAAGGGUUAAAAUGGUAAAUUUUAUGUUCUGUAUAUUUUACCACUAUAAAAAGAAAAAAAUAGCCAGGUGUGGUGGCUCACGCCUGUAAUCCCAGCACUUUAGGAGGCUGAAGCGGGCAAAUCACUUGAGGUCAGGAGAUAUAAAAAAAUUAGCCGGGCGUCAUAAUGUACUAAAUGCCACUGGAUUGUACAAUUUAAAAACAGUUAAAAUGGUAAAUUUUAUGUUAUGUGUAAUUUGCCACAAUAAAAAUGCUAAAAACAAAGAAACUAUACAGAAACAUACCUUACAACCCAGCAAUUCCAUUUCUGUAUUUAUCCAAGAGAAAUAAAAAUAAAAAUACUUGUACACAUAUGCUCCUAGAAGCUUGUAAAAGCCCCACAUAGGAAAGAGCCUAGGAUGUCCAUCAAUAGGAGAAUGGCUCAGCCAACUGUGGUAUAUAUGAUCAAUGGACAACUAUUGAAGUCACUCAACCAGUUGGUUGAGCAGAAACAUGGAUGUAGAUUGUUUUACUCCAGUUUCUUGUCUUUCUUCUUCCCCACAAGGUGGGCUUUCCCACUCACCCAAAAAUUUUGACCUAAGGAACACCUUGAGUGUUACUGAAACCCUAGAGCUCCCUGGCGGGCUCUGUUGAAACUCUUCCUUUGUCCUCUCACAGGAAAGUCAUCAUCUGUGCUGUGGCCUCCGAGACCUCUAUCUGGUCCCAUAGGUUUGGGUCCAUCCCUUGCCAGGAUUGACAGAGGAACCCUCCCCAUUCCUCAGCAGAGGGGAAUCUAGGCACAGAGGCGCCCAGCAUGCCUGGGUCAUGGUUUUCACCUCUCUAGGGGUCAGAAUUCUAACUGGUCUUUCUUUCCCAUGUUUCAAGUUGGAAUGCUUUGGCCACCAAUACACAGGCUUCUGUGAGCCUGACAAGAGCCUCUCUUGGGGGUGACCCUGAGAGGCACAGAGUUGUCAAGGCCAGGCAUGCUCACUGUUCUCCAAGUUGCAAAAUGAGCCAUCUACUCCAUACAGUUUGAGGGCAUGGAUCUUCAGUUGCACAAUCUGUAUUUGAAUCUUAGCUUUACCACUUGUUUUGGUAAACUGCACGACCUCACUGUGCUGCACGUUCCUCAUUGGUGAAAGGAAAUGAGAAUGCUACUUGCUUCAUGGGGUUGCUGUGAGGAUGAAAUUGCUUCAUAGGGUGUCAAGUUCUUGGAGUUGGUGCGUAGCACAUGAUAAGUACUAUGUAAGUGUAUUAUUUUUACCCACCAACCACCAUGUUCUCCAUGUUCUUUGAAGGCUGUUGUUCUCCAACAAGUGAAAAGAAAUAAUUAAUGCAUCCUAUCAGUCAGGAUUCAGACACACCAGUAGUUUGAAUAGGGAAAAUUUAAUGUAAAAAAUUAUUAACUAGUAAAGGAGGAUUCAUUACGAAGAAGGGUAAAUGGAACUCUAGAUAAUUCAGGAAUAACAAAGGGAGCAGCCACUACCUCUAGGGCUGACAUAGGGAACCCAAGGAAGCAACAAACUCUCCCUCCCCUCCAAGGCUGAGAUUCAGAGUUCACUGGUGAGGGUGGCUCCGGGGCCUGCGGAUGGUGGAGGAGUUUGCUGAGGUGCUGCAGGCUGAGGAUGGCAAGCAGGAAACUCUGUCGGGUGCUGGCAAAAUCUCACCGGGAAGCCGCCCACUGGCAGCUGUGCUGGAGCUAGGAUUAGGGUGACCAUAUGUUCCAAAUUGUCCGGGACGGCACAAUUCAUGCUUGUUGGUCCAGUAUUAUUAACAGUGCUCCUUUUGACUCUCAGAAAUGUCCCUGUUUGGAGGAUAAAUUAUGUGGUCACAUUAUCUACAGAUGCAUCAGCUUCCAUGAAACUAACCUUCCCACUGCUAGUAGCUAGAAAUUCUGUAAAUACCCCACCCUACCCCCAAUCUGUCUGAAUGCAACAAUGAGCCACCAAGGCAGCCUAAGGGCUAAGGGGCCAAAAUUUCAUGGAGAAGAGAAGUGCAUUCAGGGGGGCUCAGCACCCUGAGCUGCUGUCCUCCUUGAAGUGUUUGUCAGUGACAGAAACUAUGAGGCUGAAAAGGUGAGCAGAAAGCAAUGGCUCUCCAGAGGAACAUAUGAUUAAAAAUACAUCGAGUCAUCCAUAGGAUCGUUU
rnacentral:lncRNA from 1 species